CCGAGUUUACAACUCCCAAACCCCUGUGAACAUACCUUAACGUUGCUUCGGCGGACAACCCUCGCCUUAAACCGCGAGGCCCCGCCAGAGGACCCAAACCCCAACUUUAUGUUUUAUCUUAAACCUACAUCUCUGAGUGGAUUUUAUAAAUCAAAUCA
rnacentral:misc_RNA from 1 species